rnacentral:lncRNA from 1 species
GACAGGAAGUGGGAUGGUCCUGAGCUGAAAAUGUCGGAAUUGUCAUGGUAAUGCCCAUAGUUGAUGUGACAGAUACUGAGAAGGAAAAACACGCUUGCCACAUGUGAAAACUGCCUGGUUGGUUCUGCUCUGAGUGCCUCUCUGGAGGGCACAUUGAUGGAUUUGACAAUCACUUAAUUCUACUAGAGCCUGACCUUCAGUCUGGAAGUCAGAUAUACGCAGCAGAGACGUAGAUGAUAGCCGCAGGCUGCUGCUGGUGGGAAGCUGACAGAGUCCACUUUAAAGGACUGCCUUCAGUACCAUCUACAUUCUUCUACCUGGGACUGUGUGUGGCCAUGCGGACAGGCUCUCACCUUCACUAAACAAUUCAACUGCUGAAUUCCAACUAUCACGACAACCAUUUACACCAGUAAAAUGAACCAGAGAAGUCAGUGUAUCAGAACCUAAGACGGGAAAACUCUAUUGGAUUUCCUUUUACCUUAACUCUUAGAUACAACGUAAGCUGUCCACCUACUGCUUCAGCAUCAUGCCUACUUGACUGCUGUCAUGUACCCCACCAGGAUAUCAUUGACUCUACUCUCUCCUCAUGGCUGCAAUUCCUCCGUGGUUCCGGCUGAUUUGAACCUCUCUCCAUCUCUGUGCUCCUUUCCCUGGCUGGUGGAAGUUCUGCCCCAUUCCCUUUUCUGCCCAGCCAUUGGGUGAUCGUCAUUUAUUGACAAGGCAGAGAAUAAAUGAUUUUGGUGGCUCCUGGUCUUCUUAACUUUGUCAACAAUGGGAUUCAAAUGAUGAAAUUUAAUUAUUUGAGAUAUACAGUGAGUCCAUGUGAUUCCACUAUAAAAAAGAACAGAAAAAAAAAAAAAAAAGAAGAAAAGAAUGGGCUGAGAAGAUGGCCUGGUGGGUAAGGACUUGUCAGGCAAGUGUGAAGAUCUGAAUUCAACUCUCCAGCAUCUACGUAGAGCUCAGUGUAGAGCAUGGGUCUGUAAUUCCAGGGUUCUUAAAGUGAGAUGGGCGGUAGAGUUGGGGGGGGGUCCUCAGAAGCUUGGGGGCCAGCCUGGUCUGUGCGAUAACAUAGAACAAAGACUCUAUCUCAUACAGGGAGGAAGUUGAGGACCAACACCCAAGGAUGUCCUGUGACCCCCAUGGAUGUGUGGUGGAAUGCACAUACCUGAAUUUAGUGGAAAAAGUGGGGACUCUACCGAACCUUAAAACAGACCCAGCUUUCCUCCUUCCUGUGGAUGCUCUCCACCUCUCACUGGAGCCUCCAUGUCAGCCACCUAUUCAUGGAGGCACUCUCCACCUGAGAACCCCCUGCUACACCUGCCUGGGAUUCAGAAGCAAGAAAUACACACUGGAAAAAAAAGAUGGCAUUGUCAAAAACUGGUGCUGCUCAAACUGGAUGGCUGCAUAAUAGAAAAAUGCAAAUAGAUUCAUGCUUAUCACUUGCGCAAGCUCAACUCCAAGUGGAUCAGAGAUCUCAAAACAAGAUAUGCUGAGCCUGAUAGAAGAAAAGUGGGGAAUAGUUUUGAAUCAUCGGCACAGAAUUACAUGUGUCUGUGUUGUCUCCCCAGAGGCAGAGACGGAGAUUGACUGAACCACCAUUCAGAUGGUGCUAUUAAAUUCCAGGAGGUACUUCUGGUGGUGAGUUCUCCAUCACCACUCAGCAUUCCUAGCCAUCAGUCACUGGUGAACGAGGAGAGAGAGGGUGGGGAGAGGGGACCUGACAUACCACAUUCUGUUCAGCUCAUGACUUAGAGCUGAACAGCAGCGUGUGCUGGUACAGGGGCAGAUGAUCUGAUUCUGGCACUGGGAAUCUGUGUUUUAGGCAUCACUUUUAUAAUUUAAGUAAAACUGAGGAUUCAAAAA